rnacentral:rRNA from 1 species
GACGAACGCUGGCGGCGUGCUUAACACAUGCAAGUCGAGCGGUAAGGCCUUUCGGGGUACACGAGCGGCGAACGGGUGAGUAACACGUGGGUGAUCUGCCCUGCACUUCGGGAUAAGCCUGGGAAACUGGGUCUAAUACCGGAUAUGACCUCCUAUCGCAUGGUGGGUGGUGGAAAGAUUUAUCGGUGCAGGAUGGGCCCGCGGCCUAUCAGCUUGUUGGUGGGGUAAUGGCCUACCAAGGCGACGACGGGUAGCCGACCUGAGAGGGUGACCGGCCACACUGGGACUGAGACACGGCCCAGACUCCUACGGGAGGCAGCAGUGGGGAAUAUUGCACAAUGGGCGAAAGCCUGAUGCAGCGACGCCGCGUAAGGGAUGACGGCCUUCGGGUUGUAAACCUCUUUCAGCAGGGACGAAGCGCAAGUGACGGUACCUGCAGAAGAAGCACCGGCUAACUACGUG